rnacentral:rRNA from 2 species
CGUCCAGACUCCUACGGGAGGCAGCAGUGGGGAAUAUUGCACAAUGGGCGAAAGCCUGAUGCAGCUAUACCGCGUGUAUGAAGAAGGCCUUAGGGUUGUAAAGUACUUUCGUUGGGGAGGAAAAAUAAAUAGAUAAUACCUGUUUAUCGUGACGUUACCCAAAAAAGAAGCACCGGCUAACUCCGUGCCAGCAGCCGCGGUAAUACGGAGGGUGCAAGCGUUAAUCAGAAUUACUGGGCGUAAAGAGCUCGUAGGCGGUUUUUUAAGUCAGAUGUGAAAUCCCUGGGCUUAACCUAGGAACUGCAUUUGAAACUAAAAGACUAGAGUAUCGUAGAGGGAGGUAGAAUUCUAGGUGUAGCGGUGAAAUGCGUAGAUAUCUGGAGGAAUACCUGUGGCGAAAGCGGCCUCCUAAAUGAAUACUGACGCUGAGGUGCGAAAGCAUGGGGAGCAAACAGGAUUAGAUACCCUGGUAGUCCAUGCCGUAAACGAUGUCGACUUGGAGGUUGUUUCCUUGAGAAGUGACUUCCGAAGCUAACGCGUUAAGUCGACCGCCUGGGGAGUACGGUCGCAAGGCUAAAACUCAAAUGAAUUGACGGGGGCCCGCACAAGCGGUGGAGCAUGUGGUUUAAUUCGAUGCAACGCGAAAAACCUUACCUGGUCUUGACAUCCACAGAAUUUUUCAGAGAUGAAAAAGUGCCUUAGGGAACUGUGAGACAGGUGCUGCAUGGCUGUCGUCAGCUCGUGUUGUGAAAUGUUGGGUUAAGUCCCGCAACGAGCGCAACCCUUAUCCUCUGUUGCCAUUGGUUCGGCCAGGAACUCAGAGGAGACUGCCGGUUAUAAACCGGAGGAAGGCGGGGACGACGUCAAGUCAUCAUGGCCCUUACGACCAGGGCUACACACGUGCUACAAUGGUGUAUACAAAGAGAAGCAACUCUGUAAAGACAAGCAAACCUCAUAAAGUACAUCGUAGUCCGGACUGGAGUCUGCAACUCGACUCCCAG